UACCUUGAUGGCGACCGGCGCACGGGUGAGUAACGCGUAUGCAACCUGCCCGAUACCGGGGUAUAGCCCAUGGAAACGUGGAUUAACACCCCAUAGUACUUUUAUCCUGCCUGGGAUGGGAGUUAAAUGUUCAAGGUAUCGGAUGGGCAUGCGUCCUAUUAGUUAGUUGGCGGGGUAACGGCUCACCAAACCUUCGAUGGAUAGGGGUUCUGAGAGGAAGGUCCCCCACAUUGGAACUGAGACACGGUCCAA
rnacentral:rRNA from 1 species